AACAGACAUGCUGUAUUCCCAACUCCCUCUUUUAGGAUUGGUUAAAGGUGGGGCUGACGGUUGACUUUCUAUUGGUCUCUGAUCUGUUAACUCAUAUAUGGAGAAGCCAGUGGGUAGAUCUGAAAGAAGGGAGCAGGUAUGCAAUAAAGCCUUGCGAAGAGGUGUGAUGACUUGAACAAGCCCGGAGAAGGUCUGCUUGUGAAGGAGCAUCACAUCCAGCCCACCAGAAUCACCGGACAUCGGUCCGAACCAACCGCUGUGGACGAAUUGAGAGAGAGAUCCCUAAAGCGAACUGUGAAAAUAGCUUGUAAAAUUUCAAACAUUUGAACAAUUCUGAAUUCGGCGAAUGUUUGGGCGGCGCUGAAGAACAUAUGGAGAAAUAGCAGCAUCGGCCGAGUCCAACUAUUGUUAUCUUUUGUUGUUGGUCACCUUGAACAAGUUUUUUUUUGGUGGAAGGGAAGAAAAUAAAUUUAGUGGCUAAGCAACAGCAAGUAGGAACCAAACUUAGGUAAAGAUGGAAGGCUGAGCGCUCCUUUAAUUCUGCCGGAAAACUCCUUUUUCAGAAGCAAACAAGAAGGAAUUACUUCAUAAUCUCUUCCCUGCCCUUGAUGGACCAUUGUUGUGGUGGUGUUAAUUGACCAUUAGUGUGGAGGACCCUCCUUUUCAAAUUCUAACUGAAGUACAGAUUGUUGAGUUGGACUUGCCUUCUCUGUUGAAAAUAAUACAUUGCUCCCUCCCUGUGGAAACGGAAAACUCUAUUGAUUUGGGCACCUGAAAUUUGUACCCAGCCUCAGCUUAUAUCUCCUGUGGCAAUAUAACUAAAGGUACCCCCCUGAGUGUGAUCGCCCAAGGGACCCAGGAUGGAAGAGGUCUGGGCAGUCUACUUGUGCCUGUUCUUGUUUAUCGUCAUCCUUAUUUUGAUGAAGACGAAGCCAGAUGAUGAUAUCAUAAAAGAAAAAGAGAAGGGAAUUUCAAGCACCUCAAGCUCAAGCUCCUUCUCCUCUGGCACCUUGGGAAAACGCCUGGAGUGCACGGAGGAAGAACUGGAGGCCUCCCUGAGGCGGCUGAGCGGUGUUUUGUUCGGUUCGGACGCCCACAAGAGAGAGCCGCAUCACGAACACCAUCAGGUGAGGAACACAUGAGGCAGAACGAUGAGAGUCACAAAAAAGCUCAGCUGCUUUCUUACUUGCCAUUCACUUUGCUAUUGUUAAAUUACUGGAAUUGUUCAGGAGCCUUGAUCCUGUACAGAUCUGUAAGAUUUACCCAUAGAUUUCAAUAUUCCUUCUUUCCAACUUUGCUGUACAAAGACUCCAAAAGUAUUUGAGACUCAGCAACACAUGGCAUCCUUUGGCUGCAGCCCUCCCCUGCUGAAAUGGAUAUUGAGGGCAUAAAGUUGGUGUGUGUAUGUGUGUGUGUGUGUGUGUGGAAUGAAAACCCUCCGUAUCUGUUUCAGCAUGAUUUGAUCAUAUGACCAGUAGACCCCUCUUGGGGUACAGCGAGUGGACUGCAAGAUUAAUUACCCCUUAAAAUUGAUUUCAUUGCUCCCUGUAGCACAGCUAAGGAAAUGGAGUAUGUUUGUGUGCAUACAACUGUUUGGAUGUAUGAGAGGAAAAAAGCAGGAAUUAUUGCCAUCACUCUUCUCAUGCCUUUACCUUCUGUUGAGGCUUAUUGCAAUUUGGAAGGGCACCCCAGUUUGAAUCCAGUUUCCCACUGGCCCUUUGUGUAUUACCUAAAUGGUGGCAUAAGUCCAACAUCUACAAACCAGAUUGGGUGCAAAAUAAUAUUCUUAUUUCAGAAGUGAUCAUUUAGCUUCUUUAUAGUUCAAGUUUAAGUUUAUUGUAUUGGCUAAACGCCGUCACAAUUGAUUGAGAUACAAAUACGAUCAAGUAAAAUAGUGAUAAA